GUCCAAUCGAGCUAACCUGAUUUCAGCAAUUAAAUUUUUUUCUAAUUGAUGAUCGAAACUCUUUAAUUCAAUCAAAUUUACAAGAUAAGAUUGACAUCUAGCAAUAUAUCAUGUCUAUCUGAAAGAUAUAAAAUUUUAAUAGAAAUAUCAAAAAUAUCUUUCAGUGAAAAGUUAUCAUAUAAUUCGAUCCUACGAUCAUCCUGCAUCCUGAAUAUGACUCUGGAUAUGGAAUGAUGUCGAAUCUAAUAUCAUAUUCAUAUUUCUCUUAAAUUUUAAUGAUCAUUCGAUUAAUGA
rnacentral:lncRNA from 1 species